GAUGAACGCUGGCGGCGUGCCUAAUACAUGCAAGUCGAGCGAACGGACGAGAAGCUUGCUUCUCUGAUGUUAGCGGCGGACGGGUGAGUAACACGUGGAUAACCUACCUAUAAGACUGGGAUAACUUCGGGAAACCGGAGCUAAUACCGGAUAAUAUUUUGAACCGCAUGGUUCAAAAGUGAAAGACGGUCUUGCUGUCACUUAUAGAUGGAUCCGCGCUGCAUUAGCUAGUUGGUAAGGUAACGGCUUACCAAGGCAACGAUGCAUAGCCGACCUGAGAGGGUGAUCGGCCACACUGGAACUGAGACACGGUCCAGACUCCUACGGGAGGCAGCAGUAGGGAAUCUUCAGCAAUGGGCGAAAGCCUGACGGAGCAACGCCGCGUGAGUGAUGAAGGUCUUCGGAUCGUAAAACUCUGUUAUUAGGGAAGAACAUAUGUGUAAGUAACUGUGCACACCUUGACGGUACCUAAUCAGAAAGCCACGGCUAACUACGUG
rnacentral:rRNA from 1 species